UCCUGGCCCUGCAUCUGCUGGCAGCUGCUGACCUGUUGCCAGGUCCUCCUCACGCUCCUCCUACAAGAGCCACCCCCAAGCAUGGGAACAGUGUAUGAGCAGAAGGUCAAGGUGCUCGUGGAAGAAGGAAGGGCGCCCGUGGUGUGUCUCCCUUGUCAGCUGAUGACGCCGGGACCUGGAUGGUCAGGCCUCCUGCGUUUUUGCUGUUUUCACAGUGGCCGCCAGGCACCUUGUUUUGUUUCCAAUAGCGCCUCCUGGAAGGAAGCCAAGUGGCACUGCUGGAGGCCUGGGCAUGGAGGACGCCACCGCCUCCCUGACACCUCCCAAGAGAGAUGACUGCGAGGUCCCCGUCCAAAGUCAACUCUAUGACCUGGGGAUCCUGGCAUCCUUCAAGCAAGUCAUUUCCGAAGAAGGUGGAAAGAAGCCAGGAUGAUUGGUGUCUCCGCCUCCUCCUCCCCUGCCCGGCUCCCUCCUGUGCAUGUGUUUCAGCCAACCCAGGAGUGGACUGUCUUCCAGCAAAAUUCAACUCAGCUCAGAGAAGUCUCGGGAAUGGCCUUCGUUUGUGUAAUGAGAAGAUCCCUUUUCUUUUUUUAAAAUACUUCACCACAUUUUCUUUGUCUGUGAGAAAGUACCCAGGUCAGACUGGAAUUGCUCUACAAUAGAAAUAACUGAACAUGAACAAACUGAUGGAAAAAAAAAGAGUUAACUAUUUUAUUUAUUUCAAUAUUUAAAGAAAAGAGUGCUGACCCUGCACAGUAUUUUUGUUUAAAGUACCUUUCGCUUCAAAACUUAAAAGCAAUUUUGUGAAGACAUGAAAUGAAAAGAGUGCUUAAUGUAAAAUAAAGACUGCAUAUUAACACUAAGGAAAAAUGCCCCACACUUUAAUAAGAAAAUAAAAGUCAGCUCUGCUCUCUCAGGCUUUUCAAA